AAAUAUAUGCCAUGGGUGUGGUAUAGAGUAUAUUGAAAAAUAGAGAUUUGGCUAUAAAAUGACUGAAUGUGUAAGAUGAUGACUAGUUAGUGAGGAUUAUAUAGAAUGAUAACUGGAGGCAAAAAGUGUUCAAUGGUAUCUCAAUGAAGAGAAGAAAAAUAGAGAGAAUUAAGUUUUUUUUUUAUUAUCCUGCCAGAAAAUACAUUCCAAGCAACACUCCUAUUUCUCAGCCUACUGAAUUCAUAUUGCUUUCACUGUUCUAAGCCUCCAGUUCACAAUUUACACUACUUGCACUUCCAACUUUACAUUACAUACAAUAUACAGAUCUUACAGUUCAUAGGAAUUAUAAUAAGUUAAAUAUUUCUUUUCUUUCUAUACACAGUGAUCAGAUCAUAUUGCACAUAUGAUAUCAUAAUGUUUGAAAUCAUAAAACUAAUAAAACUUAAGACUAAUAAUAUAUCGUCUGUAAUAUACAUGACUUAAUAUUACACUCAAUAUUGUAAUAAUAAUAUUCAAUAUCAUAUAAUCUGUACAACAAAGCCAACUGUAUUACUUAUGUUGAUUAAUGACUUUAGUACAUAGUAAGAACUAGUUGAGAUGAGACUAUGUGAUGUUCAUGCUAUUGUUAACAGUAUUAAUAAUAUGAUGCAACAUGAGUGAAUCAUUAAGUUCACUUUGUAAUCACAAGGUUCUGAGUUCAGUCCCACAGAAUAUUUUUGGUAUGUCUCCUGUGCUGUUGUCACCUUGAGUCGACCCAAGCUUUAUGAGUAAAACUGAGUAUUUGGAAACUGCGUGAGAUCUUGUCAGAUGGAUUGUACCUGUUAUUCAAAGGGGUCAGCCUUGUCACAUAUUAUAUCAUGCUGAUGCUACUAGAGGAGCAGGUCAUGGGUAAAUAUAUUUGAGGAAUACUCAGCCACUUACAUGCUAAUUCAAAAGUGGAUGGAUAUCCAUUUUAGAUCUAAGAUGAAUAAAAAUGAUUUCAACCAAAAAUUGAAACCAGCUUGCCAUUGCUGCCAAGUAUAAACAUAUUGAAUAUCAUCAGUUCUAUGAAAUAUGCUUGUUUCAGAGAAUUGUAUAUCUUUCUGCUCAGUGGUUCAUAUAAUAAUACUUUGUAGCACAAUACUCUUUCCAGUUGAACAUUAUAAUCAAGGUAAAAUAAAACAAUAUAGAAGAAGCUUCCAAUAUAUAAACAGUCUUAUUUUUAAUGGUUGCAUUCCUUUAAGUGCAAUAAGUAGAUAACAAGUGAUGAGAAAUAUUCAUUAGUUAUCGGUCCUAAUGGAUUUAGUGCAAGAGAAAAUUGGACAUUUCAUCGUUCACAUGCCUUCCCUCAUGGACAACAUACAUGAAGGCACAACAAAUCACUAACUUUCUAGAAAAGCUUAUCUCUUGAUGUACCACAAAGAAAGUGUAGAAUGGUAUUUAUAGCAUGGUCUCAAUGUGCAAGCCUGUCUACAAACAUCACAAAUUAAAAACCACAUUUA